CUGGUUGGGUUGGUUCAGUCAAAAGAAGGGCAGGAAAGGGACAUCAGGUUUUUAGUGACUGCUCAGAAUCCUCAUGGAGUGCUUCGUUCAUUCAUCCUGCUGCCUUGACUGGUGUUGCUGGCGCUCAGCUCCUCGUGCAGAGGUGCGUUCAGCUGCAGGUUUCACCAACUAAAGCCCCAGUGAAGCGUUUUGCCCUGAUGAGCCCCUGGUGCUGGGGAUGCUGGAGGCAGGUGAGCACUGCAGGGCUGCACAGCAAGAGGGCUGGAGGGGUCUGGUCUGAAAGGGGAACUUCAUUUCAAAAUAAGGUUGUGCUGACAGACCUCAGGGAGCUUCACGGGUUGCUGAUCCCCAGUGCAGGUACAGGACCUGCUCCCAGUGCCCGUGUGAGCUGGAUCGUUAUUGCAGCUGGGGAAAACUGAGGCACAGAACAAGUUAAAUGAUUUACCAAACAUCAGGCAUAUGGGCACAAUCUGAUUGCAUGCAAUUCUGGUCUGUGGGAAUGCUUUUAUAAGCAAUCCAGGCUUUACAGCACUUCCUAACACUUGGGCAAUAGCUAUCAAAAACCCAUUAAGUAUGGCCCCUGCUUUUCUAACUCCAGAGUGCCUUUUUAAUGCUGUGAAAUGUUUGUCACUGCAUCAUCUUGUCUCCUGAUGCUCUUGUAUUUUGAAGAUAGCUGCUGAGAACGGCAGCGUGUCGAUAAUAAGUGUAUGACAUCUUGCUGAAUGUGGGAAGAAAACGAUCCUCAUUUCUUCUGUAUUACAUCCCAAGAAGCGUUUCCAUGAGGCUCAGCAUCUCACCGCCGCCUUUAACACUGCAAGGCAGGUGCCACUCACAAUAUGUUAUAAAGUCUGUAGGUGGUAAAUGUAGCCAGAAGGAGCUGGUCCAGCACUGGACAUGGGACAGGAUGAUGCUCCCUGGAGAGAUAGAUGGGGUGGAAAGGCAAUCCUGUGAGCACCAGCUCCUGGUAUCUCCAACAACGCUGCAGGUGGGAUAGGAUGCCAUGGCCUUGCUGCUGUCAGGAGGUGGGAGGAAGGAGCUCAGUGCCUUCGAAGUGUCCCAGGAUAAAGCAUGAUGUUCCUGACACUUAUAUUCCGGUUUCCAGAGGUGAGUCCCUUUUUAAAUUCCAGGUGUAAAGAAGAAGGAGCAAGAGAAACACGUUCUCCAAAGGAAUUUCAGCACAGACUGACCCACAGCCCUGCAACUCUUUUGCCUCCUCAUCCCUUCCCAGCGCAGUCUGGGUUGAUGAUGCUCCAGCCUUGAGCUCCUCCUCUCCUUCCUUGUUUGUGUUCACAGACAUUUGUGUCUGAAACUACCACUACAAUUCCUGAAAAUGGUCAUUUUUACAUAUAAAUAUCCAGUGCAAAAAGCACAUCCACAGCCUGGGUUCUGCCUGUGGGCACGGCUGGGAGCUGGGGCAUCGCGGUGCUCAGGGGCCGGCUGCGCACCAUCAGCUUUGGGGUUUUUUUUAAAAAGAAAAAUAGAUUUUGCCUGCAAAAAGAAGUAUUGACUCAUUUCCAUAUGAGAAAUGAGUUACCUGCUUGCAAAAUUGUUUGUAAGCAGGAAAAUGUGUGGGACUUGGAAACUGAGUCGCUUAUCGUGGUGUUACUUGUCCAGUUGCACUUCCAGCUGGAGCUCGGGGUUCUGGAAGAGGAAAAACAAGUCCAGAGGGAACAUGCAAAUUGCUGCUUGUCUUACAGGUCUGUUUUCUUCUCUCCUUAGAUACAUUACAGGUAAAUCCUCCUCCUCAGCAGUGCUGAAUCCCUGGAUAUUGGAGCUUUUGUUGCAGCACCUCUUUCAGAAGUGGGAGUGUGCUACAGCUUAGAUCGCAUUUUAAAGAGGUAUCAGUUAAUCCUUUCAGGAGACCACCUGGGACAAAGCAAUCUCUCAUUUUUGGGCACAGUGCUGUCCCCAGCCACCCCAAAAGCAUCUCAGCCCCCCAGUCCCUUCCCGGGGCCGUGCAUCGCUCAGCUCGGCCACAUUGAGCAUCGCUGCAGAUCCGGAGCAGCCCAAAAACGUGCUGCGGGUGGUGCUGCCCUGCAAAGGGGAUGCCUGCACAGUGCAAGCACGUUUCAGACGUUCCUUGCUGCAGCUGCUGAGGUUUCGCUUCCACAGUGUUGCAGGUCUGGUGAUGACAGCCCUGAGCCCCCAGAUUUUGUCCCCUGUGUGGAUUGGGGUCCUGCAGCUCCAUCCUGCUCUUGCUGAUGGGUGCUUGUGCGCAGUCCCUGAUGAAAGGCGCUCUGGAAAGGCGAGGGAUUCCUGCUCCUUCAGGAAGAGCUUUCAGUGCACUCAUCUAACCUUCGUUUGAAUGUCUCCAAUGUAAAUUAUGAGAUGGAGAUACAUAUAUCAAGAAGUAUCUGCAUGUGGGUGUGAGCCAGAGGCAGCUGUUCCUGCCAUGGCUUUAAAAGCCUUUUUCCAGCGAGGAGAUGCUGCAGAGUUGAGCUGCUUCAAUUUCCUGGUGCUUCAGCAGAGAGGUAUUUAUUGAUGGUCCAGGGAAGGAGGUCAGUGCCAUCAGCUGUAUUUCAAACCCCAAGUCUGUAAUUAUCCUUUCUUCCCAGAGGGGAUUAUACAGGUAUUUUCUUUAUCUCGAAUGCACAACCUGAAGCAGGUCCCCAUGUCAAAGAGCCUCGCUAGGAAACCCCGUAAUCGGCUCGGAGGCCUUUUCAAAUGGAAGGAUGGAAAGAAUCUUGGGUUUUUUUUAUCUCUGGGCUUUCCAGAUCACUGAGUCCCGAUAGGGAAAUGGAUCUGGGACCCUUGGAAGAAGAGAGGACAGAGAUACAGCUCAGCAGCCUCAAACCAUUCCCAUGAGAAAGCUGAUCGGGAGAGGUCCCAUGCCUAUGCAAAGCUCUGUACUUAACAUUUUGUUUCCAAUGCAAAUCAAUACAUUAGGUUGUGAACUAAAUGCUAAGGUGCCGUGUGAUAUUUAAUGCGUUUUUCUUUCUGUGCCUCUGUUUUACCCAGCAAAGCUCCUGCAAUGUGUCUCUGCGGGUCUCUGCUCCUGAGGUCUUUGGGACAAUCAAUGGGGCAGGAGGGUUCAGCCCCCCCAGACCAGCAGAUACAACAUCUGUUACAGAUGUUACCUGCCUAGUGCACAGUGUCUUGGUGGGAAUAGACACCCAAUAAAACAACAGAAUUUACUCAGACCUCUGCAAAAGCACCCUGUGCUCCUUCAGGACUGGGAAGGGGAUUAGUAAGCAGUUUGCAAUUAAUAAUUUCAGCUAAUGCGUUUUGCUGCUUUACCAUAUAGGAAUGAGUUGGCCUCAAAUGUACCGCUCGCUCAGCAUAUUCUGUGAACUGUUUGGAAACUGCUCACAAAUAACAAUGUAUUGUGAGUUCCCACACAUUUCCCUGCUGUACUUCAUUUUACAGAUUGGGCCGUGCUGCCUGGGGAGCCCGGGACAUAACAGCCUGAACCUCAGGAAUGCCUGUUACCUUCAUGACUUCAUUUGUAAAAUAAGUUUAGUGCAGUAAUUAUUUCACUCCCUCUGAUUUGUUGUUGUUAAUAUACAGCUAAGCCCCUUCUCAUCUAUGUUAGAAAAAGCUGGUUUAAAUUCAUUUAAAUUAUUAACUGCUCCGGAGGGACUCGAGUCGCUCUGUCUCUGCUUGUACAGCGCACAGAACGCGCAGGGGUCGGGGAGGCGCGAAACCAAAACGGGAGGCUGGAGAGCCCCAGGAUUGAAGCCAGAGGAACUGGAACCCUGUGCUGCUUUGUGCUGACACCGAGGAAAGUUUCUGAUCUUAUGUCACCCCCAGUUCAGCCGCGCGGCAGCAAAAGCUCCUGGACUCGCGCACCCUCCCCGGCUCUGCCCUGUGGCUUUAACCAUCACAGGUUUAUUCAUUUAGCAGCGCAAACUCCCAUUACAUUUUGGCAACCAGUCUAUGGGAUCUUUAUGUGUUUAAACAGUAUAAUCCAUUUUACAGUAACAUGCUUGAGAGGUUUUCCCUGUAUUCCCUAUAGAAGCGCCUGAAUUUGUGUGGCUUGGAUCUACAUAAUCUAAAAAGGGAGAACAAAGGCACAGUGUCUUUUGCGAACGGCGGUGGAUCCUAUGUAAGCCAUCGUAGUGUUGCUAUCAAUUCGCUAAAAUGUAUUUAGAUUAUUGAGGGGCAAAAGGCCCUUCAGCAAAGAUUAGAGAGGAAUAAUAAUAGAAGAAUACUUUUCGUAUAGAACUUGCUGCCAACCCUCAGAGCAUGCGGGAGGGUUUUGAUCUGAGCUUCGGAGCGCAGCAGUGUGAAUCUGCUGCUUCACCUGCAGUUCUGGAGCUGCCGGAUCCCUCUGGGGACAGGCACCGCUGUCACAGCCAGAACGCUGUUACUUUUCCUUGCUUGGAACAUGCUCUGGGUUUUUAACGUCUGUGUGUUGGCAGGAUGUCCAGCAAAGCAGAUGUUGCAGCUGGGUCAGCGCCGUGCCCUGGCCAGGACACACAUCCCAUCCCAAGCUGUGGGGGGGUGCACCAGGAAACCCCUGUGCAGCAACGGGGACCCACCAUGGUGUAGGGAGGAACCUUGGGAAGGAGCAACAUCCACGUCUUCCUAUGGGGAAACCAACUCUGACCAGCUGCAGAAACAGCAUCAGGAGAGCCCAGCCAGCUGUGCGGGAGGGGACACAUCUGCACACAGGUAAGCACAGCGCAGCUCUUGCUGUGUGUACAAACCCUCUGGUGAUGUUUCUUUAAUGUCUUCCCCAACCUCUUGCUAACUUGGAUCUUGUGCUUUAAGCAACCCUGGCUGCCUUUGGUCAGACCCUUUGCUCGCACCCCACCAGCCCCAGGACUGCAGCCCCACUUUGCCCAGCACACAGGGCCACCACGAGACUCCCAGGGAGCCCUGGGGAUGCACCAUCCCCAUGAAGCCAUCUCCAUGCUGGGGAUACCACUUGUUCCCCGAGACCUGUCUGACCGGUCCUGAGGGAAUAUGGCCUGACCCCGUCCCUCGCUGCCUGGCGCCUCGGCACUUGGGUGACUGAUGCCAGAUAAAUGCCUGAGAUAGAGGGUGGGGAGACUUGGCCGGGCUGGAAUCCCAAACACGCACCACAGAUGCUGCAGAAGCUGCAAUGGCUUUUUAGGCUGCAGGGGUGAAGCUGCGCACAGGUCCCCUUGUCCCCCUCCAGAGCCCCUCGCUCCCGACCCACGGGCACACCAUGUUCUGGGAUAUUGGAUUGCAAGGGGUAGUUUGGGCUCAUUUCUAGCAAUUCUUUCUUGUUUCAUUCUGCCUCUCCGUCAAGCCACAACACUUAACCUCUCGCCAAACCAAAGGCGAUACCUAGACACGGCAGAGCUGGAUAUGAGACAGGGCAGGGAGAUGAGAGCUGAGUGUGCAGCAGCUCCAAGCUCUAUAUCCACAUUUGCUAAUUAGUUCCUCCAUUAAGAAUUAAAAUAAACAAACAAAUGGAAGGACAGUGAGAAUGAGUAAUUCCCCAGGAUGACACAGGAAAGGGUGGGUUGGUUUACUUGUUAGGGUGCUAGUCUAGGACUAGAGAACCCUGUUUAGGCUCUUCAAAUAAUUAGGACAGAUUACAAACUUUUUGGGGUUUUUUGAGAUCAUAUUUUGGAAUAUUAUGAAAGAGGGAGGAAUGGUCUAUGUCUGCCUCUGCUCUACUGCAGAUUUGGUGUGUCCUUGGGCUGGGGGCACGUGAGGGUCCCCAUGGCUCUGCCUGUAUCUGCGCUGCGAUGGGUGGGUGCCCCAUGGGGCCCUGGUGAGGCUCACACUUGCUGCAUGGCACCAUCUGCACGCUGAAUAUCUCAGUGCCACCUCCUCUGCAGGGCUGAUGUGGGGACAAACACCAUGGGCUGUAUGUCACCCGGCCAAGGCUGCUCCUACUGACCCCACUGUCAACCCACCGAUGGACAACGCAGCCCCCAUGGGAGCUGAGGCGGUGGCAAAAAGCAACCCAAGCUGGCUUUUCUGAACCUACCCUUUAAGAACUGCUCUUCUAACAAAGAAAAAAAUUCAUUUAAAAACAUCUAAUUAAACAGUAAGUCAUUACAAGGUACAUGAAACUUGGAGAUAACACAUGCCUGGGAGGCACUGGGGAGGUUGAGACAAAGCCCAGCGCCUUCACCAGUACCCGCAUGUGUUAUCUCACAUGAACACACACCUGGUUUUAUCCCGGUGCAAUUAUAGGACAUUAAAAAUAUAAUUUUAAUGGAGGAAUGGUGAUCUGGACGCAGUUCAGAGCAAAAACUUUCUUUUAAGUUUCACUGUUUGAUUAGUAGGUGUUCCCGCCACGCACGCCUGUGUGCGGAGGGAGAAGCGCCGGGCUCGGAGGUGUGACUGUUGUGAUGAACGCUGGGUCUCGCGGUGUGUGCGAGGGCUUGUCUCAACUGUAAAGCCUGCGUGAGCAGCGCCGAGGCAGCAGAACCUCCAGUCAAGACCCGGCUUGCCCCAUUUUGAGCCCCUUUUCCCAACUCAGGCAAACUACAGCAGCAGAUGAAGCUGCAGAGUGCCGGGAGGGCUGUGUCAGAGCGCUCAGCACCCUGCGGCUCGCUGAGUCCAAGCACCGCCGCCCACGGCUGAGGACACUCUUAUAAAAGACGUGUCUUUGCAGCCCCGGGUGUUUUACAGGAUGACCUCAUUUAUUACCUUGCUCGUCACAGGAAAUGAUGUUUAUCUAAUCUACCAUUCUUUCAGGAAUUGUUUUUCUUGCCACAUCUGGCUGCACGUGGCGGUUCUUCCAGCUCAAUUCCUCUCUGCACUGAAACACAGGAGAGGUGGCACCGCUGCCACCGUGCCAGCGCCCCAUCCCAACAGCAGCCCCACACGCAAGCCCCGCGGGGAGAUUUUGGAGCUCAUGUGCAGUGGCGAGUGGAUCUAAGGAUCUCAGUCUUACUCUCCCUCCUCUGCUGCAUUCUUUAGUAGUGACAACUACUUCUUGCAAUAAUUCUGGAUGUGGGCUCGGAGCACUCUGAGGCACAGAUCUCUGUCCAUCUGUCCAACACUCAGCCAAACAGGUCCACAUUCCUGAGCAGAAACACUAGCGCUGCUGCUCCGGAGCAGCUGAAAAGCCUCGGAUGGAAAUUUAAACGAGUCACAAACACAAAGGAAAGCACAGUGGCCAAAUCCUGCUGCCUCAACGUGAAGCUCCGUCCCUUCCAGCCACACAGCGCCUGGGCACCGUGCACCCCUGGGUGCUAGUGUGAGUGCCCAUGGGCUGCGCCCUGCUCCGGCUCUACUCCAGGUUGUAAAACGCUUGCCCGCAAGCGGGAUGCACAGGCCCUGCAGCUCUUCCCACUGCUCACAGGGCCCCUGGUCUGCUCCUGAACCCUGCUGAGCCCCCAGGCUUCUUCCAGGUACCAGCGAGAGAGAUUUGUAUUUCUCUUUAUAAUAAAAAGGCUCCAUCAGAAGCUUUCAGCUGAUCCUUAAAGGAUGUCAAAGCAAUAAACCCCCUUCUUAUUUUAUAACCAAGCUGCAGGGUUUUUUGCUACCAAAUGCAAUGGCAUAAUGCUGGAUUUCAUAAACAGAAAACCAGGCUCUCCCCACUCAGGGGAGGGAAGGAUCUGUAGCAGGAGCAGUGGCUGUUUGGGCAUCGAUGGGUCUCCAGCCCUUUUUCCUGGGGGUUUUCAGGUCAGGGUGGGAGUAGCUGUCCCAGGCAUCAGGGGAAGAGAGCAGAAAAUGCCUGUAGCUGCUGUAGCCUGAAGCAGACAGAGCCAUGGACUAAACUUUUUCAGAGUGAAUUUUACUGUUUUCGAGUCAAAUAUAUCCCUGGCGUUAUAUAAACGUUUGGGAGGAAAAACAAAACAACAACACAAGAAAAAAACAAAACAAAUACAACAACAAUAAAAAUGAGACAGAAAAUAACUUCCAAAAUACUUUUGAAAA